rnacentral:ribozyme from 1 species
UGAACAGUAACUCCUAUCCCUAUCUCCCCGAUGUGACGCCUGGGGUACGAGUAACCGUGUUGAAGAUCGGGUAACCAACCCUGGUGGGACCUUGGUCGUAUGCUGACAGGGAAGG